rnacentral:rRNA from 1 species
CCUACGGGUGGCAGCAGUGAGGAAUAUUGGUCAAUGGGCGCGAGCCUGAACCAGCCAAGUCGCGUGAGGGAAGACGGUCCUAUGGAUUGUAAACCUCUUUUGUCGGGGAGCAAAAGACGCCACGCGUGGCGUUUCGAGAGUACCCGAAGAAAAAGCAUCGGCUAACUCCGUGCCAGCAGCCGCGGUAAUACGGAGGAUGCGAGCGUUAUCCGGAUUUAUUGGGUUUAAAGGGUGCGCAGGUGGGUGGUUAAGUCAGUUGUGAAAGUUUGAGGCUCAACCGGAAAAUUGCAAUUGAGACGGGCAGUCUUGAGUAAAGUUGAGGUAGGCGGAAUUCGUGGUGUAGCGGUGAAAUGCGUAGAUAUCACGAAGAACCCCGAUUGCGAAGGCAGCUUACUAAACUGUGACUGACAUUGAUGCUCGAAAGUGUGGGUAUCAAACAGGAUUAGAUACCCUAGUAGUC